AGCAGCCGCGGUAAUUCCAGCUCCAAUAGCGUAUAUUAAAGUUGUUGCAGUUAAAAAGCUCGUAGUUGAAUUUCGGGGUCAGUAGGUUGGUCGUGCCACUGGUACGUACUGGUCUCACUGAUUCCUCCUUCCUGAUGAACCGUAAUGCCAUUAAUUUGGUGUUGCGGGGAGACUGGACUGUUACUUUGAAAAAAUUAGAGUGUUUAAAGCAGGCUAACGCUUGAAUACAUUAGCAUGGAAUAAUGAAAUAGGACGUUCGAUCCUAUUUUGUUGGUUUCUAGGAUUGACGUAAUGAUUAAUAGGGAUAGUUGGGGGCAUUAGUAUUCAAUUGUCAGAGGUGAAAUUCUUGGGUUUAUUGAAGACUAACUACUGCGAAAGCAUUUGCCAAGGAUGUUUUCAUUAAUCAAGAACGAAAGUUAGGGGAUCGAAGACGAUCAGAUACCGUCGUAGUCUUAACCAUAAACUAUGCCGACUAGGGAUCGGAUGAUGUUAAUUUUUUAAUGACUCA
rnacentral:rRNA from 1 species